UACAAAAUACAGAAUCCAGCGCACUCGCUUAUUCACUAAACAAUGAUUUUUUGUUUGAUUUGAAAUCAUUGUUUAGUGAAUAAGUGAGUGCGCUGGAUUCUGUAUUUUGUA